ACUUGGGAAAGUCGAAUUAGACCAGAAAGCCCCUUCCUCGUUUUCCAUUACGUUACAUCGCUGCUCCUCCAACCUGUGUAAAUUCUCCUCCAUUUUUCGGCGACUAAGCGACCAAAAUCCAACCAGAGAAGCUGCAAACUCGACGGACUCGGCCUCCUCUCUUUGCUGUUGUCCUUUUUGUGCAAUCUGUGGCUUGUCCUUUGUUCGACAGUAGGGAGAAAGUAACGCAGCUUCAUAUUCGCCUCAUCUAGGCGAUUAACGGCGGUUUUCUCCGGUGGAGUAGAAUGGGCUUCAAGGUGAACAAUUAGGCCUUCCUAGUAGGUGUCUUCAAACAUCAUCAGCCUUUCAAGAUAAGUUUUGCUAUUGCUACAACCAUUGGUGAUGACCCCAUUGCAAUUGAUUUCACAAGAGUAGGAGAGGGUGAUGUAUGGGUGAAUGACCAAAGGAUUGGAGGUUAUUGACCAAGAAUGAGUCUCCAAAUAUCAAUGUAAUAGGACUGUACAUUUCAUAUUUGUUAGAUGUGAAUUUUGUAUUUAUUAGACAUAAAUUUUGUAUUUGCUUUUACUUUUUAUUUUUUUUGACAUUUUUGUAAUUUAUUAAGAUAUAAAAUAUAUUUAUAUUUAUAAAUAUAUUU